rnacentral:rRNA from 1 species
UUCAGGAUGAAUUUAAUUUUGGUUCUGAUUGAACGUUUUUCAGUAGUUUUGAGACAUGCGAAUCGUUGUUCUUAUAAGUUUUAUAUUUAAACUAAAAAAAUAGUCACUAAAUUAAAUAUAAUACCAAUAAGAAUAAGGUGUAAAGGUGAGUAUUGUAAAUCAGAUACCUUAUAGUCUCCAUAAUUUGGGGAUAUUUUUACUUCUUGAAUGAUUCCAUUUUUACUAUUUAUGGAUGUAAACCAACCUUACUCUUUUUCUAUUUACCUAUUCAAGGUAAAGUAGUUUAAGAGUAUAGGAAAGGUGAUGGAUACUUAUUAUAAAGUUAUAAAUUAUUAAUCUCUUUAGAGCUCUAAGUAGUUUAUUCUUAGAUAAGGACAAGUCAAAAGAUAAAUUAGCUAUUUAUCCAGAAAGGAAAGUUUCUGCUAUAAGAUUCGAUUUAUUUUGUUUAAUGGUAGUUGGUAGGGUAAAAGCCUACCAAGCCUACGAUCAAAAGCCAAGUUUGAUAGAACAAAUGGCCACAUUGGGAGUGAAAUGCCCCAAGUAGUGUAAACUACCAGCAGUCGAGAAUAUUAGUCAAUGCUCGCAAGAGUGAACUAGCUAACUGAAAUCACAUAAUACAUAAUUGUGUUAAAUGUGAUAAGGUAAGGGAAAAAACUGAUGUUACCUUACUAUUAGUGUUGUCCAAAUCUGGUGCCAGAAGACUCGGUAAGACCAGAAACGCAAACGUUAAUCGUCCUUAUCAGGCGUAAAGGGUUUGUAGGCUGCUUUUACUAUUUCUAUUUAAAAUAGCUCUGAUAAAAAUAAGUUAAAUAGGAAAAAAAAAUAAAAGCUAGAAUCAAAUAGAGGAUAAGCCGAAUAAUACUUAGAGUAGGGAUGAUAUCCAUAGAUACUAAGUGGAAUACUAAAGGUGAAAGCUUUUAUCUACUAAUGAUUGACGCUGAGAAACGAAGGUGAGAAUAGGAAAUAGGAUUAGAUACCCAGAUACCUCUCACUGUCAACGAUGAAUGGUGGUUUGUUAGUUUUAAUAAAAACUGAUAACGAUGCUAACGCGAUAACCAUUCCGCCUUGCAAGUACGGUUGCAAAACUGAAACCAAAAAAAUUAGUCGGUCUCGAAGCAAACGAAGUGGAGCAUGUUAUUUAAUACGAUAGUACGCGUAAAACCUUACCAGUUCUUGCAUAGCCAUUCUGUUACUAGAAAAAUUUUUGUUUUUUAAGUCUCAGAAUGAGUAGUAAUCUAACUUUAAAUUAGAUUAUUCGUUUACAGGUGUUGCAUGGCUGUCGUCAGUCCGUGUUUUGAGAAGUUAGGUUAACUCCGCUAACGGACGCAAUCCCUGUUGUUAAUUUAUACUUAACAAUUAAUGAAUUUUAUAUAUUUUCAUUUGGGGCUAAGACAAGUCGUUAUGAUCCUUAUGAACUGGGCUAUAGACGUGCUACAAAAACUUUUACAAAGUGAAGCAAAACCAUACCCUUGUACUUAAGUUAAUAUUUAAUAUUAUAUUAAAUAAUAGGGUUAUAAGGAUUAGCUAAUCAUUAAAGAAAGUUAAAUAAUUAAAUUAUAAACGGAUUGUCGCCUGUAAUUCGGUGACAUGAAGAAGGAAUUUCGAGUAAUCGUUGAUCACUACGCAACGGUGAAGUUGGAAUUCGGGAUGAACUAACUGUCUGUCACUGGGAAGGAGCUUAAAUUGGGGGAAACUGCCACGAGGUUAUAUCUUAAACAAAGGGAUACACUAAUGAAUAAUAUACUGCAAAUUUAUUAUUAAUUUUUUAAUCUUUAAUAAGAUUAAAAUUAAGUGUAGUUUCUAUGCUAUUUAUAAUAUUUUUAUAUUGUAAGUUAGUCAUUUAUUAAAAAAACACCUUUGUUAAGCUAAUUAGUAUCUGUUAACCCAAUUAAGUAACAUUUCAAAAGUCAUAGCAGGGUAGUGGUACUGGAAAGUGCUGCUGGAAAAUAAAAUAU